rnacentral:ncRNA from 2 species
CCCGCUGAAUUUAAGCAUAUCACUAAGCGGAGGAAAAGAAACCAACAGGGAUUCCCUUAGUAGCGGCGAGCGUCUCCCAAAAAAGGA